rnacentral:tRNA from 1 species
GUGCCCGUAGCUCAGAGGAUAGAGCGCUGGCCUCCGGAGCCAGAAGCGCAGGUUCGAUUCCUGUCGGGCGCACCA